rnacentral:lncRNA from 1 species
ACUGCUUGUGUCGAGUUUGAUGCCGUUUGCUGAGAUCACUGCCAGCCAGGAAGUUCGUUUUAGUUCGACUGUUGGCUGCCUGGGGAGCUUGGGUAGUGCAGAUAUCGAUGUGGAUAUUUAACAACUAGUUACGGAUACAUGUUACAUGCUGUUUCUGCGUUUUUCAUGUUCGCAUAUCAACACGUGGCUGCUAUUCCCAGCGCAGAAGGCAAGUGUUAUGAUUAUAUUUAUUCAUCAGGCGUUUCGUUGCACCAAGAGAAGUGAAUUCAUUAUGGAUUGCAGAAUACUCGUCAUCUUUGGAGCGAUGUGUGUCAUGAUGGCGGUAUUUUGUGAUGCUAAUACGGUCUUGUCAAUGUUUAGGGGCAAAGGUGCAACUAUGCAACAUCCCUGGUGCGAGCUCUUGAUCGCGUAAGUGUUGCUAGUGCCCUCCACCCCUAAAUGUUGGCAAGACCUAAUUGGCGCACAACAUUGGGACCGACGCUGGAUCAGCAGAAGUCAAAAGACACAAUUGUGAGAACGGAAGUUUGAAGUUGUAAAGCUGAAAAUUUUAGUUGACGUGGCCGAGGAGAUAGCGGACAUGGCUUGUUAACUUUCAUUUGUAGUUGAGGUGAAUGAGACUGCACCAAGUUUUCCGCAUGUACUAUGCAUGCCUAUUGGCUUCUUGGUAUCUUGAUGAUUUUAGUCCACGAGCUAUGUGAACAUUACUGCCUCGUUUCUACGCAACGUUUUCAGUUUUGUCCUAUCUGCUAGUCCCUGAAGUUAGUGAGUUUUGGAAUUUUACUGACUACCAAUCCACACCCACUGUAAAUAGCUCUUUAGAAUAUUAAUUUGAUAUUUUCUUCUUGUCUAAUAUUCAUCUAGUUUUCGUCUUGGCUUUCAAGUUAACUUGUUUGUUCCUCCAUUAUUGAAAAUGCUCCACUAUGUUUUGCUUACUCUACUGAUUGAGGUCACUGAUUCAGCCUUUGGAAGGUAAUGUUACGAAACUAUAGUUUGGAGAGUCAAUCUGUCACGGAUAAGACGAACAAGUGUUCGUCAUUUGCAUGUGUAGCUCAAAUAUAAUCCACAAGUUGGCUUGUAAUAAUGGCUUAUCUUCAUUGGUUGUUAGGCCUGACAUAGGUAAACAAUUCUCAUGGCUAGUUUUGUGUCGAGAGUUCUCAUCUGCGGCACUCUUUUACUUGAUCCUUUUCAGUUUUCUUGUGUCGAAGGAAAAUCUCACCCAUCUCUUCAUUGUAUGCUCUAGAAUCUGAUUCCAGCCUCACCCGGUCCAAAUUCUCACUAGUUACAAAUUCUUUUGACAGGUACAUGAUUCCCUGCAUGUGCAAAUGUUUUCUCUCAUAUAUAUAUAUAUAUAUAUAUAUAUCCAAAUAUGCAUAUACUUAUGUGAUAGAAACUGAAGAUAUUCGAAAUCUUUGAAGAUUUGGUGCAGGGUUGAAAGGGAGAGUCUGUUUAUAUUGCACUCAAAAAAUGUUUCCUGUGAAACAUUGGAUAAUCAGUUUUGGCUUGUUUUCAUGAAUUUGUUUUAUUCAGAGGCCUCAUUGGAAUAAUUUUUUACUUCUAAGAUAUCCUUGAAGCAAUAAGAUUAAUUUCCUUCCAUAAUUGAUGAUAUCAAUUUUAACAUUCCAUAAUUGAUGAUAUCAAUUAUGGAAUGUUAAAAUUUUAAAUAUUUUGUUAAAGCAUAUAUUUGAUAAAAAUGUAUCAUGGACAUACAUGGAAAUUCUAGUAAAUAUUUAUAUGAUUAGGUAGGAAUAAAUAAAAGUAAAUAAAAGUAUUUCAUAAGAUCUUUUAGAGUAGCUUCCUAGAAGCUUCAUAGUUGCUGCUUGACUUUACAUGUGUUUGUAG